rnacentral:rRNA from 1 species
AGAGUCCCUUCCUGGCUCAGGAUGAACGCUGGCGGCGUGCUUAACACAUGCAAGUCGAACGGGAAACUUUUCAUUGAAGCUUCGGCAGAUUUGGUCUGUUUCUAGUGGCGGACGGGUGAGUAACGCGUGGGUAACCUGCCUUAUACAGGGGGAUAACAACCAGAAAUGGUUGCUAAUACCGCAUAAGCGCACAGGACCGCAUGGUCCGGUGUGAAAAACUCCGGUGGUAUAAGAUGGACCCGCGUUGGAUUAGCUAGUUGGCAGGGUAACGGCCUACCAAGGCGACGAUCCAUAGCCGGCCUGAGAGGGUGAACGGCCACAUUGGGACUGAGACACGGCCCAGACUCCUACGGGAGGCAGCAGUGGGGAAUAUUGCACAAUGGGGGAAACCCUGAUGCAGCGACGCCGCGUGAAGGAAGAAGUAUCUCGGUAUGUAAACUUCUAUCAGCAGGGAAGAUAGUGACGGUACCUGACUAAGAAGCCCCGGCUAACUACGUGCCAGCAGCCGCGGUAAUACGUAGGGGGCAAGCGUUAUCCGGAUUUACUGGGUGUGAAGGGAGCGUAGACGGACUGGCAAGUCUGAUGUGAAAGGCGGGGGCUCAACCCCUGGACUGCAUUGGAAACUGUUAGUCUUGAGUGCCGGAGAGGUAAGCGGAAUUCCUAGUGUAGCGGUGAAAUGCGUAGAUAUUAGGAGGAACACCAGUGGCGAAGGCGGCUUACUGGACGGUAACUGACGUUGAGGCUCGAAAGCGUGGGGAGCAAACAGAGAUUAGAUACCCUGGUAGUCCACGCCGUAAACGAUGA